GAGUUUGAUCCUGGCUCAGGAUGAACGCUAGCGACAGGCCUAACACAUGCAAGUCGAGGGGCAUCACGAAUAGCAAUAUUUGGUGGCGACCGGCGCACGGGUGAGUAACAGGUAUGCAACCUACCCUAUAGCGGGGUAUAGCCUCUUGAAAGAGAGAUUAACACCCCAUAGUAAUUUGCGUUCGCAUGAACACAUAUUUAAAUGCAAAGCUAUUGGAUGGGCAUGCUCUCCAUUAGAUUGUUGGUGAGGUAACGGCUCACCAAGUCUUCGAUGGAUAGGGGUUCUGAGAGGAAGGUCCCCCACACUGGUACUGAGACACGGACCAGACUCCUACGGGAGGCAGCAGUGAGGAAUAUUGGUCAAUGGUCGAGAGACUGAACCAGCCAUGUCGCGUGCAGGAUUACAGCCCUAUGGGUUUUAAACUGCUUUUAUACGAGGGUAAAGUGUGUCAUGUAUGGCAUAUUGCAAGUAUCGUAUGAAUAAGGAUCGGCUAACUCCGUGCCAGCAGCCGCGGUAAUACGGAGGAUCCGAGCGUUAUCCGGAUUUAUUGGGUUUAAAGGGUGCGUAGGCGGGACAAUAAGUCAGCGGUGAAAUAUCUCA
rnacentral:rRNA from 1 species